CUAAUUUUUGUAUGUUUUAUAGAGACAGGAUUUCGUCAUUGCUAACUUGUUAAAUAAUUAUUGAGUGACAAGUUUUUAAGCAAGACUAAGAAAUGGAAUGAGAAGCAAUCCUGCCUUUUCAGGCCUCCUUUCACCUCUUCUGUAUUGAAAGUACAAAGUACGUGUACAGGGGUAAUGGAAAGUUGGACGUGGAGAUGAUCAUAUUUUCCCCUCUUGUUUUAUAUCUUUUGUCUUGGAAUUAGCAUUGCUUUUUUCUCUCCCAUUCUCUGUUACGCAGAAUGCACCUUGCCUUCCUUAAUUUUUAGGAUGUUGACCUUAGGUGGUGGUUUUCCCCUGGCCUAAAAUUUUAUUAUUGUAAUUGGGUAGUUCUGUUUAUUUUUCAAACUUCUAUGUGUAGUUCCUAUUAUAGCUCUUUUCCUUUCCUUAUAUUAUCUACCUAUGUACUUUUUAUAUGUGAAGAAUUAUUUGAAUAAUAGUUUUGGGGGGAUUUUCUUUUCCCAUUUCUUUGUUGUCUUUUUAUUUUAGAAUUAGGUUUAAGAUUAUUCAAGCUUCCUUUUUUUUUUUUUUUUUUAAUUAAUUUCUUCAGUUAGUAAUAUCUUUGUAGUAAUAAUUAUCUUUGUGAACAAGAACCUUUAGAAUAGACCUGGAGACUUUGGAGAGAAUGUGUUGUUGUGUUUUUAUUUAUCAGUAGAUGUCACUAAGAUAAGCAAAUUCACAUACAGUGUAAUUAGUCUUUCAUUUCAUUGCAGUAAACAAAUUUAUAUUAGAUAUAAUUUAUCUACAAAUGUGAUUUUCACACAAGAUUUUUACAAUAACACGUAAUUAAUGACAUCACAGUUCUAGUUGGAAAAGACCACUUGUAACAGCUAAAUUUCAGAGAACUAGCCUGAUAAUAUUAGAAGGAAAAUUUUGUCCAGGCAUAGUAACUCAUGCCUGUAAUCCUGUCACAUGGGAGGCCAAAGUGGGAGGAUUACCUGAACCCAGGAGUUUCAGGAUGCUGUUGUCAUCGCGUGCCUGCAUUCCAACCUGGGUGACAGAGUGAGACUUUGUCUCAAAAACAAAGCAAUGAAGGAAAGUUCAUCCUAAGCAUUUAGGGAGCAUUAUGAAUGAAGGCAGAAGCAUUUCUCUUCAUUAAAAAUGAUUUGUAAAUUGCGCCAAUUAUUUUCAUUUUAGUGGGAAGUUUGUUUUUAACUAAAAAUAACUUGAGAGGUGUAUUAAUAGAACUGUAUCAAAAGUCUUUUAACUACAUGAAAAUUUGGUUUGAUGUGAGUGUUGCUGUUGGUUUAGUGAUUUUUUUAACGUUGAACAACAUGGGUUUGAAUGUGUUUAGUUUUUCUUUUUUGUUUGUUUGGUGUUUUUGUUUGGUUUAUCUCUCCAUUCACUUAAGAUGUUUUUAGUGUUUAAAGCAAUAGAAUAUACAGCCAGGCAUGGUGGCUUAUGCCCGUAAUCCCAACAUACUGGGAGGCCAAGACAGGAGGAUUGCUUGAGCAUAGGCAUUUGAGACCAACCAGGGCAACAUAAAGAAUG